AGCAGCCGCGGUAAUUCCAGCUCCAAUAGCGUAUAUUAAAGUUGUUGCAGUUAAAAAGCUCGUAGUUGAAUUUCGGGAUCAAUAUGUUGGUCGUGCCUCGGUACGUACUAGCUUAUUGGUUUCUCCUUUCUGAAGAACCAUGAUGUCAUUUAUUUGGUGUCGUGGGGAAUCAGGACUGUUACUUUGAAAAAAUUAGAGUGUUUAAAGCAGGCUCACGCUUGAAUACAUUAGCAUGGAAUAAUGAAAUAGGACGUUUGAUUCUAUUUUGUUGGUUUCUAGGAUCGACGUAAUGAUUAAUAGGGAUAGUUGGGGGUAUUAGUAUUCAAUUGUCAGAGGUGAAAUUCUUGGAUUUAUUGAAGACUAACUACUGCGAAAGCAUUUGCCAAGGAUGUUUUCAUUAAUCAAGAACGAAAGUUAGGGGAUCGAAGACGAUCAGAUACCGUCGUAGUCUUAACCAUAAACUAUGCCGACUAGGGAUCGGAUGAUGUUAAUUUUUU
rnacentral:misc_RNA from 1 species